UGUCUAUGUAUGUACACUAUGUACAAUUUGUUGCAUGUAUUUGUUGGCAUGUAUUUUGCACAGAUGCAGUUUAACAGAAGUUCUGCAAAAAAUUUGUACUGUUGGAUGCAAGUCAUAACUGUUGGGUAAGUUGAGCGCUUGAGGGCAUCUAGAGAGAAUAUCUGUCCAUGGGGCCUGGGAAAAUAUGGUUGGCUUGAAAGAGCAAAAGUGGUUGAUAUUGAUGUUAUAAUAUCUAAAAUUGUUUCCCAAACCUUUUGAUUGGAAAAGUGCGAAAAACUUUAGGUGAGAAGCUUCUUGUCCAAAGGCACAAAUUCAUUUGGUGAUGGUGAGGGCUACUUGUACUUACAUUCUGAGAAAUGGAGUUUUUCACUGGUGGAUCCUAUUGUCAUGAACAUUUAUCAUGUGAUUCAAGUCUCUGGAUUCACUAUGAUGCUUAAGAAGUAAUAUGUUGUUUCUGUGGAUUAUAUCACAAAACUUUUGAUUUCCUUGAGUCUGGAAAUCAAUAUGAGUGCUUCUUUUACAGGUUAUUUCACAACUUAAAUAAAAAUUAGGAUAUUUGUUUAUUCACAAACAUUCUUAGGUAGCAAUUCAUAAUUUGUGCUUCCCUUGAUCUAAUUUCAGUUGUGCCUGCAAGUGCGACAUUGUUUGACAAGAACUGCAGUCCUCUAUUGGAGCUUGGAACAGGCCCUUACAAUACUGUCGGAUGGAACCGAAAAGGGACAUGUAUCCUUGAAGCAAUAACUUUUGCCGUUUACUUUACGUUAAUUUGUAUAAUUUGAUUAACUUGAAGUAGCUAAUUGACCAUUCUUUUGAUCUUAUAUUUUGCAAUCUUAAUUUUUUUGUUCACAGUUCUGUGCUUGGCUGGCUUUGGUAACUUGCGUGGUGAUAUGGUAUUUAAGUUUAGGAUGCUCAUUCUCUGGUGUUCUUCUUGUCUAUAAGAUCUUCAUUUGGAAGUAGGAAGUUACACUUAUUUCCUCUGUUGACGUCCCUUGUCAUCGUAUAGAAGGAAAUCACAUUUUAUCGCUGCCCUGGUUCAUCAAAUCAACAUAUUAAUUUGAGACUUCUAUGCAUCAUCCACUGACUUAUUUCUCAUUAAAAUGCUGUUUUUAGCUUGUACCAUUCUUUUUUUUUUUUUUUUAAUGAUUUUUUGUGCAACUUAGUUGUAACUUAACACCCUUCUUCUACAAGCAAUAAAAGGAAAAAAGAAAAGCUGUUAAUUUUCAAUUUGCUUCAAACUCAGAUACUGUCUUGAGGGUCGAUGCUUCAGUUGUAAGGAUACUUUCACAUUAAAAUGCUGUGCUUAUAUCUGCUGCUUUUAUUGUGCUCCUUAGUGGUAACUUGAUGCCCUUCUCUCAUGGACGAUAAAAAGAAUUAAGCAGGGAAACUUUUACCAUUCAAUCCUAUAUACUGCGUUAAGUUUCUGCUUGUGACUGCCAAAAUGGUUGAGUUCUUACUUAUACCUUGAUUUGUGUUAAUUAUGCUUAGGCAUUUUGGGACUAUGCAAACAUAAAACAACUUGGAACAACUACCACAGAAUGUUCUGUGACUACUGAGUGGCCUCCAGACGGUCAGUAUUUCAUGACUGCCACAACAGCACCGAGACUACAAGUUGACAAUGGGAAUUGGAAGCUUGCCCUGGAUCAAAUCUUACAAAUUUUCUUCUGCUUCUGGGUUUUUGAUGAUAGAUUGAGGUGAUCAAAUAGAGCAGAACUAUAUAAGCAAAUGAAAAGAGUUCACUGUAGCAGUUUCUGGUGGCAGGGUUUGAGGAGAACUUGUAAAGAUGAUUGUAACAUUUUUGUGGGCUCUAGCGAAGAUUUAAAAACAAAAUAAUGGAUCAUACAAUUCAAGAAACAUGAUAAUUCAUGUGAAUAAGUAAUGUUGAUUGAAUUUAUUAAAUAA